GAAUGGCAGUGUAAGAGACUACCGCCGCAGCGGUAACGAUGCGGGCUGUGUAAACCCCAUCCGAAGCAAGACCGAAAAGAAAGCGACAGAUUGGCCCGAUCUGCUUUCAGGUGGGUUGCUUGAGAUAUUCGGUAACGGAUAUCCUAGAUAGAUGAUCAUUCACGACAUAACCCGGCUUAUCGUUCUGCUUAGUUU
rnacentral:RNase_P_RNA from 1 species